rnacentral:tRNA from 1 species
GGGGCGGUGGCGAAAUGGCAGACGCAGCGGACUUAAAAUCCGCCGGGGGUGACUCCAUGUGGGUUCGAAUCCCACCCGCCCUA